GACGAACGCUGGCGGCGUGCCUAAUACAUGCAAGUCGAACGAACUCUGGUAUUGAUUGGUGCUUGCAUCAUGAUUUACAUUUGAGUGAGUGGCGAACUGGUGAGUAACACGUGGGAAACCUGCCCAGAAGCGGGGGAUAACACCUGGAAACAGAUGCUAAUACCGCAUAACAACUUGGACCGCAUGGUCCGAGUUUGAAAGAUGGCUUCGGCUAUCACUUUUGGAUGGUCCCGCGGCGUAUUAGCUAGAUGGUGGGGUAACGGCUCACCAUGGCAAUGAUACGUAGCCGACCUGAGAGGGUAAUCGGCCACAUUGGGACUGAGACACGGCCCAAACUCCUACGGGAGGCAGCAGUAGGGAAUCUUCCACAAUGGACGAAAGUCUGAUGGAGCAACGCCGCGUGAGUGAAGAAGGGUUUCGGCUCGUAAAACUCUGUUGUUAAAGAAGAACAUAUCUGAGAGUAACUGUUCAGGUAUUGACGGUAUUUAACCAGAAAGCCACGGCUAACUACGUGCCAGCAGCCGCGGUAAUACGUAGGUGGCAAGCGUUGUCCGGAUUUAUUGGGCGUAAAGCGAGCGCAGGCGGUUUUUUAAGUCUGAUGUGAAAGCCUUCGGCUCAACCGAAGAAGUGCAUCGGAAACUGGGAAACUUGAGUGCAGAAGAGGACAGUGGAACUCCAUGUGUAGCGGUGAAAUGCGUAGAUAUAUGGAAGAACACCAGUGGCGAAGGCGGCUGUCUGGUCUGUAACUGACGCUGAGGCUCGAAAGUAUGGGUAGCAAACAGGAUUAGAUACCCUGGUAGUCCAUACCGUAAACGAUGAAUGCUAAGUGUUGGAGGGUUUCCGCCCUUCAGUGCUGCAGCUAACGCAUUAAGCAUUCCGCCUGGGGAGUACGGCCGCAAGGCUGAAACUCAAAGGAAUUGACGGGGGCCCGCACAAGCGGUGGAGCAUGUGGUUUAAUUCGAAGCUACGCGAAGAACCUUACCAGGUCUUGACAUACUAUGCAAAUCUAAGAGAUUAGACGUUCCCUUCGGGGACAUGGAUACAGGUGGUGCAUGGUUGUCGUCAGCUCGUGUCGUGAGAUGUUGGGUUAAGUCCCGCAACGAGCGCAACCCUUAUUAUCAGUUGCCAGCAUUAAGUUGGGCACUCUGGUGAGACUGCCGGUGACAAACCGGAGGAAGGUGGGGAUGACGUCAAAUCAUCAUGCCCCUUAUGACCUGGGCUACACACGUGCUACAAUGGAUGGUACAACGAGUUGCGAACUCGCGAGAGUAAGCUAAUCUCUUAAAGCCAUUCUCAGUUCGGAUUGUAGGCUGCAACUCGCCUACAUGAAGUCGGAAUCGCUAGUAAUCGCGGAUCAGCAUGCCGCGGUGAAUACGUUCCCGGGCCUUGUACACACCGCCCGUCACACCAUGAGAGUUUGUAACACCCAAAGUCGGUGGGGUAACCUUUUAGGAACCAGCCGCCUAAGGUGGGACAGGUGAUUAGGGUGAAG
rnacentral:rRNA from 1 species